rnacentral:rRNA from 1 species
GACGAACGCUGGCGGCGUGCUUAACACAUGCAAGUCGAACGGAAAGUCCCUGCUUUUGUGUGGUGCUCGAGUGGCGAACGGGUGAGUAACACGUGAGUAACCUGCCCUUGACUUUGGGAUAACUUCAGGAAACUGGGGCUAAUACCGGAUAGGAGCUCCUGCUGCAUGGUGGGGGUUGGAAAGUUUCGGCGGUUUGGGAUGGACUCGCGGCUUAUCAGCUUGUUGGUGGGGUAGUGGCUUACCAAGGCUUUGACGGGUAGCCGGCCUGAGAGGGUGACCGGCCACAUUGGGACUGAGAUACGGCCCAGAAUCCUACGGGAGGCAGCAGUGGGGAAUAUUGCACAAUGGGCGGAAGCCUGAUGCAGCAACGCCGCGUGCGGGAUGCCGGCCUUCGGGUUGUAAACCGCUUUCGCCUGUGACGAAGCGUGAGUGACGGUAAUGGGUAAAGAAGCACCGGCUAACUACGUG